rnacentral:rRNA from 1 species
GCGAGAAACCUUUGCAAUGUGCGCAAACACGACAAGGUUAAUCCGAGUGUUUCCUGCUAAAGGAAUCUUUUGUUAGUUCUAAAACCACUGAUGAAUAAGAGGUGGGCAAGUUCUGGUGUCAGCCGCCGCGGUAAAACCAGCACCUCAAGUGGUCAGGAGGAUUAUUGGGCCUAAAGCAUCCGUAGCCGGUUCUGUAAGUUUUCGGUUAAAUCCACUAGCUUAACUAAUGGGCUGCCGAAAAUACUGCAGAACUAGGGAGUGGGAGAGGUAGACGGUACUCGGUAGGAAGGGGUAAAAUCCUUUGAUCUAUUGAUGACCACCUGUGGCGAAGGCGGUCUACCAGAACACGUUCGACGGUGAGGGAUGAAAGCUGGGGGAGCAAACCGGAUUAGAUACCCUUGUAGUCCCUGAGCGGGCUGGCAAGGCGCAU